CAACUUUCAACAAUGGAUCUCUUGGUUCUCGCAUCGAUGAAGAACGCAGCGAAAUGCGAUAAGUAAUGUGAAUUGCAGAUCUCAGUGAAUCAUCGAAUCUUUGAACGCACCUUGCGCCCUUUGGUAUUCCGAAGGGCAUGCCUGUUUGAGUGUCAUUA
rnacentral:rRNA from 1 species